CAGAAUUCUCCUACUUUUCUCUUACUCUUUCUGCCUUGUUUGCUGAGCAUUCCUCUUCCAAUUCUAAUGCAGGAUAUCCCUUUUGCAUAGCACUGGCAGGCUGCUCUUCCUCAGUGGUGGAAAUUCCUAAACUUUCAUCAUGUCUCUUCCAGGUUUAUAAAACAGAAAGAAAAGCCAAGCAAGCAAGCAAACAAACAAACAACAACAACAACAAAGGUUUCAGCAUCUUCUUAAUCCAAGUUGUCAUUUUAUGCCUGGAAGGGCUUUUCACUGCCUCAGCUUGGAGCUAAGCUGCCACUUCUGCUCUUAUUUCAUUGGCUAUUACUGUUCUUAUGACCAAGCCUAACUGCCCUGUGCUGGCAGUUUAAUCCAUGCUGUGCACAGAAUCUUCCCACCAUCUCUGUCUCCCGAAACAUGACCUCCUCUUCAAGGCCAGUAUAAAAUAUCACUGUCUUCAUUGAAGCUCCUCUCCCAGCAUCGCCUACCCCCAAAUUAGGUAAAUAUUCAUAGAAUUUUUUAAAAAACACAA
rnacentral:lncRNA from 1 species